GUUAAAUCAUAGGUUCAGAGUCUUCCUUUUGCCUCAAGAGUCUGUCUGGUGGCUGGCUCGCAGCUAGCUUCUGCACAAUCCCCUCACUCUGACCCUGCAUCUUCAAUGCCGCCAUUCUGCCAAACCGCUGCUACUUCUGGGUGAAAACCUAGUUCUAGCUCCCUCCAGAGUUAGCUGGUUUGGCUAUUUGAAAGCUACUCCUUCAAUGAACCGUUCUUUGUCAUUUCAGAAAUGAACCCUGCUUUCCAGCAUUUGGGCUGGACAGGGUUCUCCAGGCUUGCUAACUACAGCAGCUGUUUUCUGUCCCCAGUAAGAGCCAGGGUGACAUACCUACCUGCCCAGAGCCACCCUUGACAGGAGACUCAGGGAGAAGUGCCCCCAGGACCAAAGCACCUGCCCAGCCCACUGGAAGAAGGAAGCUUACAAUUCUGUAUGCUUGGAACCCACCAAAGCCUGAGGCCUCACUGGCACCCAGCCAUCCACAGGAGUUAGCAGCUGUUUGAGUCCAGAAGGAAGAACUUUUGGAGUCGGAGACAAAUAAUGUUCACCACUCCACUUCCUUGUUCCUUCACACCUGCUACUUUGGAUUCAGACGAGAAGUUCCAAGAAUCCCUGAGUCCACAGCAUGACUCUGGUUUGCAGAACCUCUGUCCAGACCAGCCAGAUCAGAAUACAAAGGAAAGUGACACAUCCUGGAUCUCAACCCACUUCGAUGGGAAGUCUUCCUGAUAAAUUUAGAGAUAACCUAAAGCCCUUGGGGACUUCCUCUUGAUUUGAAUCUGCUGAACACCUGCCGCACCCCCACCGCACCCCCCCCCCCCGCCCCCCGCCACCGCAGAUGAAAACAUCAACUCUGCAGAAUUAAUGGAUAUGGGAAUCACCUGGGGACCUCUCAUUAAAUUGCAAAUUAUGAUUCAGAGGGUCUGGGGAGGGACAGAGACUCUGCAUUUCUAACAAGCUCUCCGGUGGUGCCCACGCAUCACCGGGGCCGGAGAACCUUCCAUCAUUCCAGCAAUGCUCACCAUCACUGCCAUUCUUGCUCUUCUUUCUGGGGCCGUUGCCCAUUUUCUCCAUGGUAUCCUUCUUUUUUCCUAUUCUUUUCCUCUUUUAAUCCUUUUUUUCUUCCCAGCCAACUCACUAUUCCUAUAUCCCUGCUAACCCUCAAUGCUCCUUCACUCAAAGAUGAAGAAACUCCUGCCCUUUCUUCCUCCAGACAUUCAUCUCCCUCCCUCCCUCCUCUCCUCAGCUUUGUAGUGCCAGGAAAAGAAAGAUCACCAUUUACUGACAAUUUUGUGUGAAGCACUGUCCCAAGUGCAUUACCCAUAUUACUUAACUCUCACAACAACCCUGCAAAGUACACAUUAUUUCUGCCAUUUUAGACAUGAGAAAAUUGGGACUUGGGGUGGUUAAAGAAAUCUUGUCCUCAACCAGGAAGUAGUGAUCUGAGAUUAGAAUUUAGAUCUGUCUGAGGCCAAAGUCUACAACUUCUAUACUGCACCAUGCUCAUAUAAGGUGAACAAUCUAGAAGGCAGCUGGUAGGAGUGGCUUCAGUAAAAAGGAAUGGAAUACCACGAGCUUCACCCCAUUUAUGCAUCCUGAACCCUUCACUCCACUUUUGUUAAGUACAUGCCCUAUGAGACGGUUUGACAUACCAAUAAUGAGAGCUGUUUCAAGAAUGCCCAGAUUAGCUAGGAUGGUUGGGACCUAAAUAGCACAGUAGUAAUAUUAAAGCCCAAAGUUGCCAAUAUGCUCAAUUUUCAAUGUAACCUUUUAUUAUAAAUUAAGACCCAUAACUGUACACACAGAGUCUGUUACCAAAAAAGAAAUUCCUUCCAUUGGCCAAUUAUUCAACCACAUGAAGUCUACUAAAGGAUGAUGCCAAGCCACCCAUCAGUCCACACAGGAUCCAUCAUGGAUGGAUAGCCAGUUCCUUUUUCUCUCUCUAGUUUCUCUUCCUUGAUUCCACCUCUAGGAUCCCCUCGCUCUCUUAUUGUCCUUUGCCUUGUCCUCAAGAUCCUACCAAGAGUCCUGGCUUCCCACCUGGGAGCAUGUACCAGUUCUCCAAACCUUUGUGUGUUUCUGAUUCCUCAGACUACCGCAUCUACAAACUAGGAAACUGUACUCUUGCUUAUACUGGCCCUCUCCCUCCCUUGACUUUUAUUAGAUACAUCAAAACAAAACAAAAAACUCCUUUUAAAUUCUGUUAAAGAUCCUGCAAGGUAUGAAGGGAGGAGAAAAGGCAGGGGCUGGGUAUGAGGAAAAGUCCAUCUUGACAUACAAAAAUGUUAAAAGUCUAUAUACUCAAAGGAGAAGUGAAGAGUCAGACUUUUACAUGUGGAACAGACAGGAAAACUGGGAGCAAUAUGGUGUAGUCAUCAGAUGUGGGUUCUAAAUUCAUCUCAGCUACCAACCAGCAGUGCAACCUUGGAUAAGCUGUGUAUUUUUCUCAAUACCAGUUUCUUCAUCUUUAAAGUGUGGAGAUUGGAUUGAACAAUUACUAAGAUUCCUUUGUUCUCUACUCUGCAGUGUCAUCUCUAGCACCUAAAAUAAAAUAAACCAGAAAUUAAUGAAAGAGUGAAAAUAAUAUUGCUCUAACCAGAAACUGAGAUACUUGAUUGAGUAAAUGCAUGAAAACAAGAAGGUAAAGAAACCAUGAUUAAUAAUAAUAAAUGAAUAAUAAUAACAAUAAAAUAUAAAAAAUUAAAUAAAGACAAAAAUGAAUGAGCCUAUAGUUUUACUUUUUAAGAAGAUGUUAAAUGCCCUUCCAAAGUGGCCACUCAUUAUCCAUAGCUAUCAGUUACUUGUAAAAUACACUGUUGGGACAAUGCAUAUUCUAUUCAGAAGUAUAUUGCCACUUAAAAACCUUGUUUUCCAAUAAAAGCAUUGAGUUAUAAAAUCAACCAACAUUUUUAUUCUAAACUAUGGUAGGUAGAUCAGAAAUAAAAUUAGGUCAACAUGAAUAAUUUCCUUCAUGGCAGGUUACGGAAUUUAAUGUACGUGAUAUUUUCCCUCUUUGAAGUUAACAUGUAAUUAUGUUUGCUUUAUGCCAAUUUAUCUGCUUCUAAAUGUUCCAAACUGAAAAAAGGAAAACAAAGCCUGCCUGUAGCUGCCUCUUCCUUCAUAUACACACCAGGCCAAAAGACAGAAUGGCUGGAGGCAUGGUCUCCAAGUGUGUGCUUUGCGGGAGGCCUACCCACCCUAAAAGUAUAAGGGCAAAAGUGUAUCUCUUUGUGUUUUGGAGCUGACUGGCUCAGUAAAAUUUUCUAAGUCAGUCUGCACGUACACCACUUCCUCAGUCUUAUAAGUGAGGACGCCCUCCUGCAUCUGGCCCUUAGAAACCUGACCCCUCCUGAUUGGUCAUCACUUAUUUUCUGGGAAUCAGCUUUCAUCAGCCCAAACCCUUCCAGCAGAAGGAUGCCCCAGCCUCUCUACUCAGGGGAUAACUUGCCCAGGAGAAACAUUUUUUGUGAUGAUGUUCUUCUCAUUCUCUUUCUUCUGUAACCCCAUCCUGGCCUCAGGUACCCAUGGUCUCUAUGCCAAAAUCACAGGUGAAAAUUAUAUUUUGAUUAUUUGGCUUAGAUUCUCUCCAGGCCUGACUUUCAACUACCAUUGAAAUGAUUCUCCUAAAUAAAUAUUACCUGAGAAAACCCAAGUUCCACCAUUUGGGUCUGUCAUGUUCCCAGAUGAGGGAAGCAACAGGCAUCAAGAAUUCCAGAACGUUAGAAUCCUUAAGUGGAUCGAAAGACAAAUUUGAAGGAAAAUCUUACCUCUUGCCACUCUCCACUAACAACUAGGGCUUAUUCGUUUUUUACUCUUCAUCAAGAACAAUAAAAAUAAAAUAUACAGCUGGGCACGGUGGCUCAUGCUUAUAAUCC
rnacentral:lncRNA from 1 species